UACGUAGGGUGCAAGCGUUAAUCGGAAUUAUUGGGCGUAAAGAGCUCGUAGGCGGUUUGUCGCGUCUGCUGUGAAAUCCCGAGGCUCAACCUCGGGCCUGCAUUGGAUACUGCCUUGCUUGAGUACUGGAGAGGGAACUGGAAUUUACGGUGUAGCAGUGAAAUGCGUAGAGAUCGUAAGGAAGGCCAGUGGCGAAGGCGAGUUCCUGGACAGUUACUGACGCUGAGGCACGAAGGCCAGGGGAGCAAACGGG
rnacentral:rRNA from 1 species